rnacentral:rRNA from 1 species
GACGAACGCUGGCGGCGUGCCUAAUACAUGCAAGUCGAGCGAGACUCUUCGGAGUCUAGCGGCGGACGGGUGAGUAACACGUGGGCAACCUGCCUGUAAGACUGGGAUAACACCGGGAAACCGGUGCUAAUACCGGAUAAUCCUUUUCCUCUCAUGAGGGAAAGCUGAAAGUCGGUUUCGGCUGACACUUACAGAUGGGCCCGCGGCGCAUUAGCUAGUUGGUGAGGUAACGGCUCACCAAGGCGACGAUGCGUAGCCGACCUGAGAGGGUGAUCGGCCACACUGGGACUGAGACACGGCCCAGACUCCUACGGGAGGCAGCAGUAGGGAAUCUUCCACAAUGGACGAAAGUCUGAUGGAGCAACGCCGCGUGAGCGAUGAAGGCCUUCGGGUCGUAAAGCUCUGUUGUUAGGGAAGAACAAGUACCGGAGUAACUGCCGGUACCUUGACGGUACCUAACCAGAAAGCCACGGCUAACUACGUGCCAGCCGCCGCCGUAA